rnacentral:rRNA from 1 species
GACGAACGCUGGCGGCGUGCUUAACACAUGCAAGUCGAACGGAAAGGCCCUGCUUUUGUGGGGUGCUCGAGUGGCGAACGGGUGAGUAACACGUGAGUAACCUGCCCUUGACUUUGGGAUAACUUCAGGAAACUGGGGCUAAUACCGGAUAGGAGCUCCUGCUGCAUGGUGGGGGUUGGAAAGUUUCGGCGGUUGGGGAUGGACUCGCGGCUUAUCAGCUUGUUGGUGGGGUAGUGGCUUACCAAGGCUUUGACGGGUAGCCGGCCUGAGAGGGUGACCGGCCACAUGGGGACUGAGAGACGGCCCAGAAUCCUACGGGAGGCAGCAGUGGGGAAUAUUGCACAAUGGGCGGAAGCCUGAGGCAGCAACGCCGCGUGCGUGAUGACGGCCUUCGGGUUGUAAACCGCUUUCGCCUGUGACGAAGCGUGAGUGACGGUAAUGGGUAAAGAAGCACCGGCUAACUACGUG